GGCUCAGCACAUGUUGCAUCCAGCACGGGGCCUGAGUUUGGGGGAACUCCAGUUGUCAGGUGAAAGGACGCUCCAGUGAAGCACGUGCAGAAAACAAGAAGGAAGGUGAAUAAGUAUGGACAACAAAGACACAUAUUUUUUGAGAUUUAAAGGCUAUAAUUUUGAAUCUUCUUUAAUUGAUGCUGACUUUCUAGAAAAUCUAGAUGAUUUUGAAAUUAGAGAUGAUGAUGUCUUCAUAAUUACAUAUCCAAAAUCUGGAACCACCUGGACUCAGCAGAUAUUAAGUUUGAUUUAUUUUGAGGGACAUCGCAACAGAACUGAAGACUUGGCAACGCUUGUUAGAGUCCCUUUCUUGGAAUACAAUAUACUCAAAAGAGACUGUCUCAACAGACCAUCUCCUUGCCUCUACUGUUCCCACCUCCCAUAUUAUUUAGUACCAAAAGGUCUCAAGAGCAAAAAAGCUAAAGUAAGGCAUAGAAAUAGCUUAUGGACCUUUGGCACAAACAAAAAUACUUUCUUCAAAUAUUUUUUUCCAGCCCCACUCAUCCACAGUCUUUCAAAUGUGAUUAUUGUAAUCUUUGAUACUGUUUUACACCUUAAAUACAUAUGGAAUUAUAAGUAUAUACAUAAAUUGGGUCAUCCCACACAUUGCUUGUAAUGUGAUUAUAUAGUAUACAGCAACAUUUCUUUGAUGACAGCACAUAAAAUUCUAUUCUUUUUAAUGGUUUUGUAGAAUUUAUUGUAUGGCUCUACAAUGUUUAGUGUAUUGAUGGAUAGGUAAGUUGCAACAAAUGU